CCACUGUGUCAGCUCAAUCAAAUGUCAAAGGUACAUUUCACACCACUGUGUCAGCUCAAUCAAAUGUCAAAGGUACAUUUCACACCACUGUGUCAGCUCAAUCAAAUGUCAAAGGUACAUUUCACACCACUGUGUCAGCUCAAUCAAAUGUCAAAGGUACAUUUCACACCACUGUGUCAGCUCAAUCAAAUGUCAAAGGUACAUUUCACACCACUGUGUCAGCUCAAUCAAAUGUCAAAGGUACAUUUCACACCACUGUGUCAGCUCAAUCAAAUGUCAAAGGUACAUUUCACACCACUGUGUCAGCUCAAUCAAAUGUCAAAGGUACAUUUCACACCACUGUGUCAGCUCAAUCAAAUGUCAAAGGUACAUUUCACACCACUGUGUCAGCUCAAUCAAAUGUCAAAGGUACAUUUCACACCACUGUGUCAGCUCAAUCAAAUGUCAAAGGUACAUUUCACACCACUGUGUCAGCUCAAUCAAAUGUCAAAGGUACAUUUCACACCACUGUGUCAGCUCAAUCAAAUGUCAAAGGUACAUUUCACACCACUGUGUCAGCUCAAUCAAAUGUAAAAGGUACAUUUCACACCACUGUGUCAGCUCAAUCAAAUGUAAAAGGUACAUUUUAAAAUCUCAAAAGGUAAAAAUGUAUGCCAAAAUCGUCUUGUUUUGUGCACACCAUAGGGACAUGCUGGCCUACAUGUACGGUGAUAUGUACCUGUGACACAGU